rnacentral:rRNA from 1 species
CCAGUGAUAUAAUUAAACGGCCGCGGUACCCUGACCGUGCAAAGGUAGCAUAAUCACUUGUUCUCUAAAUAGGGACUCGUAUCAACGGCAUCACGAGGGUUAUACUGUCUCCCCCCUCUAAUCAGUGAAACUGACCUCCCCGUGAAGAGGCGGGGAUACUUAUACAAGACGAGAAGACCCCAUGGAGCUUUAAACCCAAUAACAACCUCCACCAAAAUAUCUCAAUAAUGAAGAGGCACUGUUUAUUGGUUUUAGGUUGGGGUGACCACGGAGAAAAACCAAACCUCCAUGACGAAUGGAACUUAAACCUAAUCUAAGAGCCACUACUCCAAGAAUCAUUAAUUUGACAUAAUUUGAUCCGGCAACCGAUCAACGAACCAAGUUACCCUGGGGAUAACAGCGCAAUCCAUUUCAAGAGCCCCUAUCGACAAAUGGGUUUACGACCUCGAUGUUGGAUCAGGGUAUCCCAGUGGUGCAGCCGCUACUAAAGGU